GGUACCUGUGAACAAGGGCUUCGGGAAGUUGGGAAGGAACACACCAGCACUCGACGGUCUCCCAAGACAAUAACUCCUGAAUGAUUAGUGCUUUCACGGGGAGUCGCUUUUUAGAAAAAAGAUUUUACCCAGCUUUUCCUCUUCCUGGGAGGUUUCU